CCUCGCCGCCCCUGCACAGCCUCCCUCUUCCGCAAUGCGCUUUCGAUCGUCUCCCUCGGGAACCGCUCCCAUCGCAACGCCCUCCCCACCACCGCCCUGCCCCUGCGCCUCCCACCUCGCCGCCCUUGCACAGCCUCCCCCUUCCUGCGGCCCUCCCUCUCCUCCAACGGGACCGCGGCAGCCCACACCCUGCGGCCCUCCCUCACCUGCUCACCCUCCCCGUCACCGGUCGCCGUCCGCAUCUCCGCUUCGUCCCGGUCGUCGCGCCGUCGGCACCGCCGCAGCCUGGGCGCCGCCACCGUCGGCCUGCCUCGCCCUUCCGCGCCAUCUCCAUGUCGCCGUUCGCCGCGCCAUCUCCAUGCCGACGUUCGCCGCAUCGCAACUUCACCAUGCUACGAAGAACCCUAGGCGCCGCUGCCGUCGGCCUGCCCCGCCUUCCGCGCCCUCUCCCGGCCGCAGAUCCCCGCCUUCUGCCGCUGCGCCGAUCCGCGCCGCCGCUCCGUUCCCGUGUGCGGGGCGGCGCGGAAGGAAAAGAAGUUCAUCACCGAGCAAUGGGUGCAAGACAGCUUCGAACUUGGAGAAUUGGCAGAUGCAGAUCGCGUAUUAUAUGCGCCAGUCAGAGAUCCCAAUGGCAUUCCGGGUAGUGAUGAACUUCACAUUUGCCUGACAGGCUAUCAGAAGAAUUGGUGUGGAGACAUAAUGGUAGUGGCUUUGAACCAAUGCGUGCCUAGGCUGGGAGAUUCAGUUUGAUCUUCAAGCCCAUGGAUUUAUUUCAUCAAGAUCUCUUACAAAGCUGAAUCACAUGCUCAUAGUCGAGUAUUUUAUCAAUUUUGCAAGAUAAUUAUAAAUUCACUGUUACAACAUGUUUGUUAAUUCCAAAAAAAUCUGAAAUUGUUUAAAUCAUUUCGUGUGAACUUUGGUUAUUUAAUGAGCUUGUCACUGCUACUUGGAAUCACUGAGCUCUCAUAUACUAAUUUCAAGAUGACAAGUAGUUGCAACUGAAAUCUUCAGUUUGUUCAGUUAAUCUUGGAUUUCAUGUAUUGUUCAGAUAAUUUUGGGUUUACCUUGCUCUGAAAAUCAUGCUGCUUGCUGUUUCAGUUCUUGUUCAUAUGGAAUUCUUUGAGUUUAGCUUGAAUGCUGAAUGCUUCAAAGAGGACCCUAUGGAGAGCUGCUGCUGCGAUGCGGAUAAAAAAGCUCACUUACAAUGGGUGGAGACUAGGAAUCCAAGUCACUAUAUCAUGGGCCAUAACUGAGACAACCGAAAGAGGCCCUAAUGGGUGCAGCUGGUCCAGUAGUUGUCAAUGAAAGGGCAUGUGGCAUGCCAAAAGAAAAAAACAGUCCUGUUGGACAAUAACAGCGCCAGACCAGCAUAAUGUUGUGUGGCUGCCAAUGUCGAGUGAACCUUGCGAUGAAAACGUCCAAGCGCGCAGGUUGAUGAACAAUAUGCCUUCCCGAAUUGGCAGCAGUGCGAGCAGCCGAGCCCCAAAGGUUGUGAACAUCUGCUCAACCUCAGCGGCUCUGCCUGUGCGAGAGAAUAGCUAUCGACAGUUGCAGGAAUGAUUGUUAACAAUGAAACAAUUGGGCCCAAUUGUUUGGUUAGGAUUGAAUUGAUGAAUGUGAGAUGAAGAGAACAAUGUUUAUCUAAACCAAGGCAACACCUGAUGAAUCCUGCUUUU